CAGGUGGUGCCGCAAAUCAGGAGUCCCUAACCAAAGACGACAAAGGUUACACUCUCGUGUCAAAAACACCCAAAGACAAAAAUCCACUUUACGAUGAUAUUGCUCCAGCAAAAUCCGAUGAAGGAAAGUCAAAAGCCUAAACGGUUCAAAGAAUGAGCUAUGGAGACAGUGAUCGAGCUACAUCUGGUGAAAAUAUCCAAAACCAGCACCAUCAUAGGGGAACAGUCUAUUGUACCAGCGAGUGAUAUAUCCAUGUGCGAUGGAAUCCAGACCAAAUAAAACAAACUGUCUCACUCUAGAAAACAUUGAGUUCAUCGACAUUGACGUCGAAGUCAAUAUGACAAACGAAACGACGACAGUCUCAUGACAGAACGCAAUACGUCCUCGUUAACUUUAUAAAGAAUGUACAAACCAAGAGUAAAAAAGAUGGCAUCCUUGAUUUAUUUCUUAUUGAUUGCAUAUUGUCUGCUUUUGAUUGUAUUGGUAUGUCUUGAUAACAAAAUAAUGUAUCAUGUCGCUUGAUCAAAUGAUUUUUUAUCGGAUACCAUGUGACACUAUUUAAACCAAUCAGAGAGUUUGAAAUAUAUAGUUUUAUACUUACGACAUUUACUAACCCAUUCUUUUGGUCAAUUGGUCACUAGUUGUCAGUUAUAAUGAUUAAAUUAUAUUCGGAUACCAGAAGAUGAC